UCGAGCGGAGACGUAGCAAUAUUGUCUUAGCGGCGGACGGGUGAGUAACGCGUGGGUAACCUGCCUUGAACAGGGGGAUAACACUGGGAAACUAGUGCUAAUACCGCAUAAUACAUUCGUGUGGCAUCACAAGAAUGUCAAAGGAGUAAUCCGGUUUGAGAUGGACCCGCGUCCGAUUAGCUAGUUGGUGGUGUAACGGACCACCAAGGCGACGAUCGGUAGCCGAACUGAGAGGUUGAUCGGCCACAUUGGGACUGAGACACGGCCCAGACUCCUACGGGAGGCAGCAGUGGGGAAUAUUGCGCAAUGGGGGAAACCCUGACGCAGCAACGCCGCGUGAAGGAUGAAGGUUUUCGGAUCGUAAACUUCUUUGAUGAGGGAAGAAAAAAGACGGUACCUCAAAAACAAGCCACGGCUAACUACGUGCCAGCAGCCGCGGUAAUACGUAGGUGGCGAGCGUUGUCCGGAAUUACUGGGUGUAAAGGGCGUGUAGGCGGGGAUGUAAGUCAGAUGUGAAACUCCGAAGCUUAACUUCGGAACUGCAUCUGANACUGUGUCUCUUGAGUGCUGGAGAGNAAAGCGGAAUUCCUAGUGUAGCGG
rnacentral:rRNA from 1 species